UACAGAGGUCUCAAGCGUUGUUCGGAUUCAUUGGGCGUAAAGGGUGCGUAGGCGGCGCGGUAAGUCGGGUGUGAAAUCUCGGAGCUUAACUCCGAAACUGCAUUCGAUACUGCCGUGCUUGAGGACUGGAGAGGAGACUGGAAUUUACGGUGUGGCGGUGAAAUGCGUAGAUAUUGGGAGGAGCACCAGUGGCGAAGGCGGCUCACUGGACCGGAACUGACGCUGAGGCGCGAAAGCGUGGGGAGCAAACGGG
rnacentral:rRNA from 1 species